UUCAAAAGACUCCCAUCACAGUGAAGGUAGCAUCAGAGGGAGCUCCUUUGCUAAGCCUGACUGCAGCACAACCCAUGGAUAGAGAGCUGUUGCCUGUGUCCUGGGACCUCCUGAGCCUGUCUCCUGAGAGAUUCGUGACUGAACACAAUAUCAUUGAAUACCCAAGCCUUCUAACAUGGCCUCCUUCAGGUACUGACAGUCUGCAAUAAGGUCACCGUGGAGCAAUACCUUCUCCAGGCUGAACAACCCCAACUCUCUCAGCCUUUCUUCACAAGAAAGGUGCUCCAGCCCUCUGAUCAACUCCAUGGUCCCCCUCUGGACAAACAAAUGAAACUUUACCUAUAGGUGUAUGUGACACUGCUCUGAGUCAGGGCUAUGUUAUAAAUACUUCAGAGGUCCUUUCCAGCUGCCUAGGUCUGUGAAUUUCCACAUGUGAGGUCACACAGUAGAUGUGGUCCCAGGAGAAAAACCACAAGUUGCAGAGGGCCUUCUGCAUCCAGUGGCAGCUCUUUGUAUGACAAGCCUUGGGAGGAAGAAACACUCUGGAUGAGGAGCUUUCUUGAAGGAAAGAAGCAUUCAGAACCACCAAAAAGGUGACCAAAAUCCUGAUUUGCCUGUGCCACUGUGCAGGACAAUUCCUUAGCUGAUCUGAUGUGACUGAAUUUUGUUCUUCUCUCUUAUACCAGGCUUUGCGAUCUGCUUUCUCAGAGGGGCAUAGUUUAUGCAAGAAUUACUAAAAUGAAAUAUAACUGCAGCCUCAACUAUUAAUCAUUUUGGAAAUGAAACCCCAGGCUUUCUCACACUGCAUACAGGAAAGGAGUACAAGCACAGACUUGAUGUAUAUACAUACACACAUAUAAAACAGAGCCAUUGGAAAACUGA